CUCCUUUCAGCUCCUUGCUGUUAGAUCGUCCGAACCUGAAAAGAUAAAAGGAAACUAAAUGCUCAAAAAGUAUAUCCAUAUUUGCACAUCCAAGCAACAUCAGAUGAACAGAGGAAAACGUUCACCAUGUAAGAGUUCCAUAAAUUUUUCAAACUCCUCUGGAAAAAUUAAGUGCUGAGAGGCAGAAUUCAGUAAGUAACAGCAAUAACGUCUAUAAAACAAAAGGUUAGGUUACCUGCGAGAACUUAAUCAAUUAAUAGUCUGAAUAAACACUACUGUGACCUAACUCCUAACAUUUUAUCAGUGUAGUCUGAUACUGUAAAAAGAUUAAUAUGCGGGAUUUGCAAUGAAACUCACAAAAAAAUGCAGUAUGCUCACCACUAAGUUCAUUCCAAAACAAAGCAACAAUACCGAAUACAUCAAAUAAUUAGAGAAAACAUCUUAACUUCCACUCUGUAUG
rnacentral:lncRNA from 1 species